GAUGAACGCUGGCGGCGUGUCUAAGGCAUGCAAGUCGAGGGGUAGCAGGGUAGCAAUACCGCUGACGACCGGCGCACGGGUGAGUAACACGUAUCCAGCCUUCCCAUAACUCGGGGAUAGCCUUUCGAAAGAAAGAUUAAUACCCGAUAGUACUUUUUCAAGGCAUCUUGAGAAAGUUAAAGAUUUAUUGGUUAUGGAUGGGGAUGCGUUCCAUUAGAUAGUUGGUGAGGUAACGGCUCACCAAGUCUUCGAUGGAUAGGGGUUCUGAGAGGAAGGUCCCCCACAUUGGUACUGAGACACGGACCAAACUCCUACGGGAGGCAGCAGUGAGGAGUAUUGGUCAAUGGGCGAGAGCCUGAACCAGCCAAGUAGCGUGAAGGAUGAAGGUCUUAUGGAUUGUAAACUUCUUUUAUAGUAGAAUAAAGUGAUCCACGUGUGGAUUUUUGUAUGUAUACUAUGAAUAAGGAUCGGCUAACUCCGUGCAGCAGCCGCCGCGGUAA
rnacentral:rRNA from 1 species